rnacentral:lncRNA from 1 species
UUUGUUUGUUUUAUUUAAUUAUAAAGAAAACAUUUUAAAAAAAAUUAAAUAAUAGUAUAACUGAUUAAUUAAUCCAAAACCUAGAAAAUAAGAAAGGUCUUGAUUCUCUUAAUGAAUGGGUGACAGUUAGCAGUGACAGAUAACAUUCUAAUCUCUCUCUCAAUGGUUACAAAGAAAAAUAAUAAAAAAAAGAUUCGUGCUCUCUCUCCAAAGGACCCAUUCACUAACCAAUUCUCAAGACUCCACUCAUUAACUCUCUUCUCUCUCUCUCUUGGGAGUUGGGGAUAGAAAAUAAAAACAAAGAAAAACAAAAAAGACACCUGGCGUCUCUCUCUUUCCUCACUCACACUCCCCAUUAAACACACACCUCACCUCCACUCAGAUAACAAAAAAAAACCACUCACGAUUCCUCUAUGAGCAAAAGAAACGAACAAAAAAAAAUAGAUAACAGAAAGUAAAACGAAAAUAGGGGGG